rnacentral:rRNA from 1 species
GAUGAACGCUGGCGGCGUGCCUAAUACAUGCAAGUCGAGCGAAUGGAUUAAGAGCUUGCUCUUAUGAAGUUAGCGGCGGACGGGUGAGUAACACGUGGGUAACCUGCCCAUAAGACUGGGAUAACUCCGGGAAACCGGGGCUAAUACCGGAUAACAUUUUGAACCGCAUGGUUCGAAAUUGAAAGGCGGCUUCGGCUGUCACUUAUGGAUGGACCCGCGUCGCAUUAGCCAGUUGGUGAGGUAACGGCUCACCAAGGCAACGAUGCGUAGCCGAGCUGAGAGGGUGAUCGGCAACACUGGGACUGAGACGCGGCCCAGACUCCUACGGGAGGCAGCAGUAGGGAAUCUUCCGAAAUGGACGAAAGUCUGACGGAGCAACGCCGCGUGAGUGAUGAAGGCUUUCGGGUCGUAAAACUCUGUUGUUAGGGAAGAACAAGUGCUAGUUGAAUAAGCUGGCACCUUGACGGUACCUAACCAGAAAGCCACGGCUAACUACGUGCCAGCAGCCGCCGUAA